AUGAACGCUAGCGACAGGCCUAACACAUGCAAGUCAGGGGCAGCACAAGGAGCAAUCUGAGGUGGCGACCGGCGCACGGGUGAGUAACACGUAUGCAACCUGCCUGUAAGCGGGGAAUAACCCGUUGAAAGACGGACUAAUACCGCAUAAUACUAAAUUACUGCAUGGUAAUUUAUUUAAACAUUUAUGGCUUACAGAUAGGCAUGCGCAUGAUUAGCUAGUUGGAGAGGUAACGGCUCCCCAAGGCAACGAUCAUUAGGGGUUCUGAGAGGAAGGUCCCCACACUGGUACUGAGACACGGACCAGACUCCUACGGGAGGCAGCAGUGAGGAAUAUUGGUCAAUGGACGAGAGUCUGAACCAGCCAAGUCGCGUGCAGGAAGAAUGUCCUAAUGGAUUGUAAACUGCUUUUGCAGGGGAAUAAAGUGCAUCACGUGUGAUGUUUUGUAUGUACUCUGCGAAUAAGGAUCGGCUAACUCCGUGCCAGCAGCUGC
rnacentral:rRNA from 1 species